rnacentral:rRNA from 1 species
AGUGAACGCUGGCGGUAGGCCUAACACAUGCAAGUCGAACGGCAGCACAGUAAGAGCUUGCUCUUACGGGUGGCGAGUGGCGGACGGGUGAGGAAUACAUCGGAAUCUACUUUUUCGUGGGGGAUAACGUAGGGAAACUUACGCUAAUACCGCAUACGACCUACGGGUGAAAGCAGGGGAUCUUCGGACCUUGCGCGAUUGAAUGAGCCGAUGUCGGAUUAGCUAGUUGGCGGGGUAAAGGCCCACCAAGGCGACGAUCCGUAGCUGGUCUGAGAGGAUGAUCAGCCACACUGGAACUGAGACACGGUCCAGACUCCUACGGGAGGAAGCAGUGGGGAAUAUUGGACGAUGGGCGCAAGCCUGAUCCAGCCAUACCGCGUGGGUGAAGAAGGCCUUCUGGUUGUAAAGCCCUUUUGUUGGGAAAGAAAAGCAGCAGGUUAAUACCCCGCUGUUCUGACGGUACCCAAAGAAUAAGCACCGGCUAACUUCGUG